UCCACGCAGUAAACGAUGAAUGUUAGUCGUCGGGAUGCAAGUCAUUUCGGUGAUGCAGUUAACACAUUAAACAUUCCGCCUGGGGAGUACGGUCGCAAGAUUAAAACUCAAAGGAAUAGACGGGGACCCGCACAAGUGGUGGAGCAUGUGGUUUAAUUCGAAGAUACGCGAAGAACCUUACCUAGCCUUGACAUUGAUAGAACACAGUAGAGAUACAGUGGUGCCCUUCGGGG
rnacentral:rRNA from 1 species